CGCGUAGGCGGUUUCGGAAGUCAUGGGUGAAAGUCCUCGGCUCAACCGAGGGAUUGCCUGUGAAACCACGGGACUGGAGUGCUGGAGAGGGAAGCGGAAUUCCCAGUGUAGCGGUGAAAUGCGUAGAUAUUGGGAGGAACACCUGUGGCGAAGGCGGCUUCCUGGACAGACACUGACGCUGAGGCGCGAAAGCCAGGGGAGCAAACG
rnacentral:rRNA from 1 species